UUUGGAGGUGUGUAGUGAUGAUCUAAUCUGAAGCUCCAUGAAGUUUGGAGGUGUGUAGUGAUGAUCUAAUCUGAAGCUCCAUGAAGUUUGGAGGUGUGUAGUGAUGAACUCUAAAGCUACAUGAAGUUUGGAGGUGUGUAGUGAUGUAGUAACUCUGAAGCUACAUGAAGUUUGGAGGUGUGUAGUGAUGAUCUAAUCUGAAGCUACAUGAAGUUUGGAGGUGUGUAGUGAUGAUCUAAUCUGAAGCUACAUGAAGUUUGGAGGUGUGUAGUGAUGAACUCUGAAGCUACAUGAAGUUUGGAGGUGUGUAGUGAUGUAGUAACUCUGAAGCUACAUGAAGUUUGGAGGUGUGUAGUGAUGAUCUAAUCUGAAGCUACAUGAAGUUUGGAGGUGUGUAGUGAUGAACUCUAAAGCUAC